UAAAGGUGUGUGAGUGGUUUUUGGUUUGUUACGGGUGGUUGGCUCUUUGCUUGCGCAACAACUGCCACCCGACUUACCUCUUCAGAUGUUUGCCUAGGSUAGUAUGGCCUAGGCAGAGUGUGGGUUUCCUGUGUUGCCUACCUACGUUAUGGAAUUGUCCCGAUCGAUCAAAGUUGCUUUCGUCUUGUGUCAUCUCGGUGGUGUAAGAUGAACCUCGAAGCUGUCUCUUUGCACUGCAUCGUUAAUGCUUGCGUUGAUGUUGUGGCCCAUUGAGCAUUGCUUGGUACCUUGGAUACGGAACCUGAUGUGGGCAUGGGUCCUUAGGGAUCCUUGUUCUGCCCUCGUUUAGCGUUGUCGCUUCUCUUAGAAUGACUGCCCAGCCGGUAUGGCAAGCCAUUGCGGAUGGGCAUCGUCAAAGAGGAAUGCUACCUGGU
rnacentral:misc_RNA from 1 species